rnacentral:lncRNA from 12 species
CUCAUUUCAUCACCAAGGCUAUUCCUAGAAAAAGAAAAUGUGGAUGCACCUGCUCUGUUGCUUCCCCGAAAUAUAAUUUGAAGUCAUGCAAUGUAGCAAAGCACAG